rnacentral:rRNA from 1 species
AGUAGUUUGAUCAUGGCUCAGAACACGCUGGCGGCAUGCCUAACACAUGCAAGUCGAACGAAGCCUUCGGGCUUAGUGGCGCACGGGUGCGUAACACGUGGGAAUCUGCCCUUCGGUUCGGAAUAACAGUUAGAAAUGACUGCUAAUACCGGAUGAUGACGUAAGUCCAAAGAUUUAUCGCCGAAGGAUGAGCCCGCGUAGGAUUAGGUAGUUGGUAGGGUAAUGGCCUACCAAGCCGACGAUCCUUAGCUGGUCUGAGAGGAUGAUCAGCCACACUGGGACUGAGACACGGCCCAGACUCCUACGGGAGGCAGCAGUGGGGAAUAUUGGACAAUGGGCGAAAGCCUGAUCCAGCAAUGCCGCGUGAGCGAUGAAGGCCUUAGGGUUGUAAAGCUCUUUUACCAGGGAUGAUAAUGACAGUACCUGGAGAAUAAGCUCCGGCUAACUCCGUG